AUGGAGACACCGGCGGGAGGUUCCGCCGAUCGCCGGGUAACCGGGUCUGGCGCCUCCGCCGGUGCUGCGGCUUCUGGCCUCAGCCGCUACGGUCUCAAUUUCUCCGCCUCCAGCCUUCUCCAGGCUCCGCUCGCCGCGCUCCUCGAGUACUCAGGCGUUGUCCCCUCCGGGCCCGUCCCGCAGACGGUGCAGCAGGCGGUACCCUCCUCCUCAUCGUCGUCUGAGGCUGACGGGCUACUUUCUGCCGCCGCUGCUGGGGAUGGAGAGGUCUCGAUUCGGAUCCAGGGUGGCCCCGGCGACCCUGACACGGCGAGCGCGACGGCUGCAGGGGCCUCGCCGCAGGACUCAAUUGAGGUGGCCGCCUCCUCCAACUUUGACCAGGCCUCCGUGGCGGGAAGGGGAGGCGGUGCUGAUGCGGAGGCAAGCGGCGGUGGCAGUGGCGGUGCUACGGGGAAUGGGGCUGGGGACCGCCCAUAUCAGCGUUACGACGUGCACCACGUUGCUCGGUGGAUCGAGCAGAUACUACCAUUCUCGCUGCUGUUGCUCGUCGUCUUCAUUCGGCAGCAUCUCCAAGGUUUCUUUGUCACAAUUUGGAUUGCCGCUGUAAUGUUCAAGUCAAAUGAUAUAUUGAAGAAGCAAACAGCACUGAAGGGUGAGAGAAAAAUUGCUAUGCUUGUUGGAAUCACCAUAAUCUUCAUGGUCCAUGUGUUUGGCGUCUAUUGGUGGUACAGGAACGACUAUCUUCUUAGACCUCUGUUCAUGGUUCCUCCAAAAGAUAUACCACCAUUCUGGCAUGCAAUUUUUAUCAUCAUGGUUAACGAUACAAUGGUCCGCCAGGCAGCGAUGACCGUCAAGUGCAUGCUACUUAUGUACUACAAGAACAGCAGAGGCCGUAACUACCGUAGGCAGGGACAAAUGCUAACACUUGUGGAGUACCUUCUGCUUCUAUAUCGUGCUUUAUUGCCGACUCCUGUUUGGUACCGUUUCUUUCUGAACAAGGAAUAUGGGAGUCUGUUCUCAUCUUUAACUACUGGGCUAUACCUGACUUUCAAGUUGACUUCAGUAGUUGAGAAGGUUCAAUCAUUCUUAUCUGCAGUGAAAGCAUUGUCACGUAAAGAUGUGCACUAUGGGUCUUAUGCGACAGCAGAACAGGCAGUCGCUGCCGGUGAUAUGUGUGCCAUCUGCCAGGAAAAGAUGCACGUUCCUGUUCUCCUUCGCUGUAAACAUAUUUUCUGCGAGGACUGUGUCUCUGAAUGGUUUGAGCGAGAACGAACUUGCCCUUUGUGUAGAGCAUUGGUAAAGCCUGCUGACAUUCGGUCAUUUGGUGAUGGUUCUACAAGUCUCUUCUUCCAGUUGUUUUAG
rnacentral:rRNA from 1 species